rnacentral:rRNA from 1 species
GACGUAGGGCGCGAGCGUUGUCCGGAUUUAUUGGGCGUAAAGAGCUCGUAGGCGGCUUGUCGCGUCGGACUGUGAAAUCCCGCGGCUCAACUGCGGGUCUGCAGUCGAUACGGGCAGGCUAGAGUUCGGUAGGGGAGACUGGAAUUCCUGGUGUAGCGGUGAAAUGCGCAGAUAUCAGGAGGAACACCGGUGGGCGAAGGCAGGUCACUGGGCCGCAACUGACGCUGGAGGAGCGAAAGCAUGGGGGAGCGAACAGGG